rnacentral:rRNA from 1 species
CACUGCUCUGACGGAUGCUUUUAUUAGACCAAGCCGCUGAGGACUUGAGGGUUCGCUCUCCUGUCUGACUCGUGUAAUGGUGACUCUGGAUAACCAAUUCUGACAAGCGCACGUACUUCUCUUCUGAGCGAGACGGCGCUGCCACUUUCGAGUGUCUGCCUUAUCAGCUAUCAACCGUUCGUUAUGCGCGACCGAUGGCUUUGACGGGUAACGGGGAAUCAGGGUUCGAUUCCGGAGAGGCAGCCUGAGAGACGGCUACCACGUCCAAGGACGGCAGCAGGCACGCAAAUUACCCAAUCCCAGCAAAUGGGGGAGGUAGUGACGAAAUCUAACGAUGCGGGCGCCCUUUCUGGGGCCCCGCAAUCGGAAUGGGCACUUUCUAAACAACCUGUUGAGAACCUACUGAAGGGCAAGUCUGGUGCCAGCAGCCGCGGUAAUUCCAGCUUCAGCAGCAUCUAUUAAAGUUGCUGCGGUUAAAAGGCUCGCAGUUGAAUGUCUGUAUCGAGCGCAGGUCAGGUGGACGUUGGGGCGUGGAAGUACGGGCAGUUGGAUGUCCGUGGGGUCUUCGUGCUCAACGGCUCCUUCGGCUUUUCCACACACCCCCGUCCGUGACAAGCCUCCUCGCUCGGGUACAUAACGGGAAUCGGUCAAACGGAGUGUGGUUGGAGGUUGGGGUGCGUGGCUUCUGUUGCGUGCUUCUUCUUUCGGCUGCGUUAAGCUCCAUCGGUUUCACGGUCACCUUGAGUAAAUCAGAGUGCUCAAAGCAGUCGUAGGGGCCUUGCGCCCUGUGAACAGUCUUGACGGACUGACUUGGUUUUGCAUGGCAUGUCGGAAGACGACGUCGUGUGCUGGCUCAGAGGAUAAAUCAGUGGUACAAGCCAGCCUCGACGUAAUGAUUAAAAGGGACGGUCGAGGGCAUUGGUAUUGCGAGGCGAGAGGUGAAAUUCUGUGACCCCCGCAAGACCUCCUGAAGCGAAAGCGUCUGCCAAGGACGUUUU